AUCUCAUUAAGAACAAAGAAAAAUGUGCAUAUGUGAGCGUGGCUUCGUCCAAUUCUUCAACAACUUCAUAUAUUUCCCCCCUUCUUCUUCACCCUUUUCCCACCUUCAAAUGAAAUUCAACCCCUCAAAUCCAAGCAUUUCAAAGUUGUACUUGAACUUCAUGAACAAAUGAAAAACUCCCCAUGAAACAAAAUCCCCCUCCCCUUUUUCUCACGAUGUCGCCUUAUGGGGUUCUAUUUUCUCUCAUUUUCCUGCUCUUUCUCGCCCACGACGCCUUUGAAGCGACCUCAAUCCACGUUAAUGACUCCGACCAAGAACCGAUGAUGGUUCCAUUGAUGGAGAAGAUGGAAACGACGGCGAUGGUGAUAAACGGCGGCCGACGGCAGCUUAGGAGCUUCCAGAUUUGUGCUCUCUGCACCUGCUGCGGCGGUGCCAGAGGAAUGUGCGUUCCAUCACCCUGUUGCUAUGCUAUAAACUGUAACAUCCCUAAUAGGCCAUUUGGGUUUUGCUCUUUUACUCCAAGGACCUGUAACUGCUUUGGCUGCCAUAUUUAAUAAGCUUUCUUGUUAUGAUAUUGACAAUGGUUCAUUGUUGGAUCUCUGAAACUGUGGAAUACAAGUUCUAAAUUGUUCAUUGUUCAUGGAAUUGUGUCUUGAUUUGGUGUCUGUAGGAGAUAUCAUAGCAUGGUGCCAUAGUUGAGCUUUUGAGGACAGAAUGUACCAAGAUUUGGCUUGUUGGGCACUGUUGAUAGCUCUAUUAUGAUGAUC